AGUGAACGCUGGCGGUAGGCCUAACACAUGCAAGUCGAACGGCAGCACAGUAAGAGCUUGCUCUUACGGGUGGCGAGUGGCGGACGGGUGAGGAAUACAUCGGAAUCUACUUUUUCGUGGGGGAUAACGUAGGGAAACUUACGCUAAUACCGCAUACGACCUACGGGUGAAAGCAGGGGAUCUUCGGACCUUGCGCGAUUGAAUGAGCCGAUGUCGGAUUAGCUAGUUGGCGGGGUAAAGGCCCACCAAGGCGACGAUCCGUAGCUGGUCUGAGAGGAUGAUCGGCCACACGGGAACUGAGACAGGGCCCAGACCCCUACGGGAGGCAGCGGGGGGAAAUAUGGGAAAAGGGGCGCAAGCCGGAUCCAGCCAUACCGCGUGGGUGAAGAAGGCCUUCGGGUUGUAAAGCCCUUUUGUUGGGAAAGAAAAGCAGCAGGUUAAAACCCCGCUGUUCUGACGGAACCCAAAGAAUAAGCACCGGCUAAUUUCGU
rnacentral:rRNA from 1 species